AUUCCUCAAGGACGGGGAUAAGAUUCUGUAAAGCAGGUGAUGUCCUGCUGCAUGGUAUCAGAUUCAACGCGUCCUGCUCAUGUAUGGAAGAAUGUUGGAAUUGGAGUAUGCAUGGGAGUAUUGAUGUCAGUAAACCUAACGUGGAUGGAUGGUGGAUAACAAAAUCUUCUCUGGGCCAAUUGUCUCUACAGUAUGCAGACAUCAGAUAAAGGAUUGCAGCUGCAAGAACAAGUAGCAGCUAGCUGAUGCCUACAUGGUCCACAAACCUGACGGCACUCACUGAGUCCUGGCCAUAUUGAGUCCACUUCAUGUCCCUAGAUGUACAAAGGCUACUCGACCGCGAGGAAAGAACAGUUCGGUCCUGAUUAAGGAAAGGUGUCCAGGAAUUGCUUGUCCGGCGUCUUACCGCAAAUUAUUUGAAGGUAAUAUUCCUAUCUGAAAUGCAUUAUUCGGCCAGCAUCUCUUGGACAUUAGGAGCAUGUGCAACAGCACAAGCGGGGGCUUGGAAACGUAGAGGUUCUGUAAGGACCCCAAAUCUUUUCUCCAGUGACACACAGGAUGGAAUGGAUACAGGCCCCAAGUUUCAUAUCAAAUAUGUGGCUCCUGUUUGGGUUCACUUAUUCGGGGUGACCAUAUUAGCUUCCCUGGUUAAGCCUGAGCAAUCUGGGCCAGCAACAUGUGGCUUACCACUCUUCAAGCUGAGGUGGUUUCUAUUCACAAAAUGUAAGAUGUUCCCAUUUCCAAAUCGAGCUGAAUUUCUGUAGACCGCUUGUUGCUAUACAUCUCAAAUUAUUUUGCGGUGACAUAUCAUGUCGGAUCUACCGACGAAGAACAGGAGUAUUAGGUUCCCCUCUGGCAUGUUAUCGCUGUUUCCGAAUAUACUACAAAUCUUCAUGAUUUUGAGCAUAAAUUUUUU